rnacentral:misc_RNA from 1 species
GUGAAGAACGCAGCGAAAUGCGAUAAGUAGUGUGAAUUGCAGAAUUCAGUGAAUCAUCGAAUCUUUGAACGCACAUUGCGCCCCUUGGUAUUCCAUGGGGCAUGCCUGUUCGAGCGUCAUUUGUACCUUCAAGCUCUGCUUGGUGUUGGGUGUUUGUCUCGCCUCUGCGCGCAGACUCGCCUCAAAACGAUUGGCAGCCGGCGUAUUGAUUUCGGAGCGCAGUACAUCUCGCGCUUUGACAACAAAACGACGACGUCCAAAAAGUACAUUUUUUACACUCUUGACCUCGGAUCAGGUAGGGAUACCCGCUGAACUUAAGCAUAUCAAUAAGCGGAGGA